AGGAUAAUAGUUUAAUAAAAACAUUUAAAUUGCAAUUAAAAAAAACCAAAAACCGGUUUAUCUUU
rnacentral:tRNA from 1 species